UGGGACUGGCUUACAAGCUGAG
rnacentral:piRNA from 1 species